rnacentral:lncRNA from 1 species
GUAUCACUUUGACUUCCAUCAUCACCAUACUAUGCCAUAAAUAGAUUAAGAAACCACAUUGUUUGGAUGACUGAAAAUAAGAAUCACUGAAGCAAGUUUGCUUUUUAGGAUUAGGAUGAAAGCCACCACUAAUUCAUGCUGAGAUAUGAUUAGAUUGUCCGUACACCAUGUAACUAACUAACAAGACCUUGAUUUCCCACCAGAAACAAUGCAUUUGGUUACCUGCUACCUUAAGGGACUUGAUUAUCACAUAAUUUGAUAUAGGUAACUUUUUACUGCUGAUGAAUUGAACAGUGCGGUAAGAAUGAUGCGGUAAGCUUUGGUUUUCAAUAAUUUUAUGCCAAUUUGCAUGUUUUACUUGGUCCAAUAUGGCAUAUUCAUCCUCAUCACUAUACAUUUAUUUUUACAUCUUCUAUUAUCUGCAAAUUUAUCCAAUUCUUGCUUGGUUAAUAUCUGUCUGUCGGUCACUCACUAAAUGAUCCAAUGAAAGGUCAGCCACACCAUGCCAUGCUGCAUGACUACUCGGUUUCUAAUUUUGAUUUCGACGUCUUGUAUUUUUCAAUCACAUUGCACAUGUCCUUUCUAUCUUCAGAAUCAUCUUCAUUUACCAUCUUUAUGGUUGCUGUCCAUCAUUGGAAAUUCAUUGAUGUGCUCAUUAUACCGGAUGUACAUUGACACAGUACAUUAUACUCUUCUCAGUUAUCUAAAUAUAAUCUCAGUGGAUUGAUGUGUGUGACUAAGACUUGAAUUAAAAGUUAGAGAGACAGAGUGUGCUGGUGAAGCCGUAUUGUUGAGUGGCUUGCAUGAAGGAACCACAGACUGCCUGGAGCCAGCCAAUAUAACAGGUAAGGGAAGUUUCUUCUGAUCUUGUCUUUUGAGUUGAUCAACCAAAGGGAAAGAACACCCUUGUUCGUAGCUGGAAUCCAUGAGAAGCACUUGCUUUUUAUUAAUUCCCCUUUGACUAAUCUUUAUCAAAUGCAUUUACGUCCUUUGUUGUUCAUCAUUUGGUGUGCCUGAGCUAGAAUCUUUCUUAAUGAACUUACUGUGUUUUCUAUUUCCUCUAUCUUCUGUCCUUUUUUUAAAACUUCUUUUUUUGACUAGGACAUAUAUUCUUUCUAAGAUCGAACUUUUUGACUAUGGUACAUGCCUGAAUCGCCAGAUGGCAUCAAGUUAGGUACUAGCUUGCCAUGAAUUUCCCAACAUUCAUAUAUUUGACUUAGUAUUAAUCGAACUUAACAGUCAUCUUUUUUAACCACUUCAGAGUAGAUAGCAAAUCAGUACACAUUUUUUUUCUCCCUUCACAUUUCAUCAUCUCUCCACUUUAGUGGUGGUCCUAUUUUUGAACUGAUUUCUAACAUAGCAUGGUCCCUAAUCUAGCUGCAUCCUAGAUCCAUUUCUGGACUGAUGAAAUCUGACACAGCUCUAAGUAUUUGACAGAUGAGUAAUGUAGGUUGUACGGGAAUUCUAGAACACUAAAAAAAA